CUGUAUAAGCACAAAAUUUACAUUUAAAAUAUAAUACAAUGCUUGUUAGAAGAAAAACUUUAAAAUUUUGUUUUGUAGUUCUAAAGCUGAUCAAAAAAGGUUUUUCAAAAUCACCUUCCAAAAUGUAAUGUCCUGGUUUCUUUACACAUGAGUCAGGACUGCACAGAAAACUUGAAAAAAAAGGAGAAGCAAUUUACUGGAGUCCUUUUAUAGGACUAUAAAGAGCAUUCGAAAAGUAAAUAGAUUUAUUUUACAUCUUCUAUUUUUUGUAUAUAUAUAUAUAUAUAUAGCAGUUUACAAUUUAAAAAGCACUUUUACAUAAAAUUUCAUUUGAUCUUCACAACAAUUCUAUGAGAUAGGUUUUAUUAUUCCCAUUUUAGAGAAAAACCAAAAUUGAGGCUCUAAGAGAGGCUGGAUGGUUUGAUCCAGAGCACACGGCUGGUUAGAGGGCAGAUGUUAAAAUUACAUUUUCAAAAUACUCACGGUGAUGGAUACCCCAAAUACCCGGACUUGAUCAUUACACAUUCUAUGCAUGUAAAAAAUAAAUACAUGUACCAAAUACAUCUGUAUAAUAUUAUGUAUUAAUAAAAGAAAAACAUAUUUUUCAACAAACAGGUCUUAUUUAAUGACUUCCUGUUUAACUGCUAUCAAAAUGGGAUAUGGUUGUGGUGGUUUUCUUUCUGGUACAUUUGUUAAGUUUUCAAAUGAGCCUAACUCUGCCACAUAUAUCAUAUAGGAGCUGGCAAAGGCUUGAUGACAAAGAGAUCUCUCUCAAGCCUUUCCCACAUCAGAGGCUGGCUUUCACACACACAGAAGAAGAAAAAACAACAGAGGACACGUGUUACCUAAAUAAUAAGAAGCAAAGACUUCUCUGACUAUAUUAUACACACAGAUCUGAUAAACUAUCUGGAAUUCUACUUGUCUAUUCCUAUAGUCUUCCAAUAGUAUAAUAUCUGUGAAAUAAACUAAUUGAUAGUAAUAACUUCUAAAUUCUAAACCAUCACUGCAAAUGCAUGCAUGCCCAGUAGGCUUAUUUUAAAAAAAAAAAUUAAAGUUGUGAUUGAGGACUUUACAGAUAACACUACAUAGUAAGAAACACACAGGUCAUUUCUUGAAAAGAUACACCAUAAUUUGGUUGCAUUAUGGAUUUUAAGUCUUAAAACUAGUUCUCCUGUACUUCUCAAUUGAAAAAAAAUACGCAAAUCAGAAAUUAGAAACCUAGGUAAUGGCUCUAUGUUAUAUGUGAAACGAAAAAAUACAUUAAGUUUUGGGGCACAAGGUACACAAAUCGACCACUCGAACUUAUUUUCACAAAAACAAUUCCAUCAUGGGCAUAGGGACAGGGUUGUAAACUCUACCAUUUGCUUUAUCUGUAUCUCACCAAAAUUUUAAAGGAGAAUAAUAUAAAGUAAAUAAAAUAUAAAGCUUUGAUUUAUUGCAGCAGUACAAUGGGAACUAGUGAGCUAGUUAACCAUGUUCCUUCUUUUACCAGGUUAAAGACUUCUAUCCUCUUCAUCCUUUUAAAAAUCAUAUACUUGGCAAUUGACCACUUUUAGAAAAACAAUCCAGUCAGCCAAAUAAUCUUCAUAUGAGAAUAGCAUGUUAUCAGCAAAAAUCUGACUUGUAAGAAAUAAAACUAGAUAAUGAAUUUCUAGCUUGGACUUUGAUUUUUCAAAUUAUUUCCAGCCAGGUGCAGUGGCUCACACCUGUAAUCCAACACUUUGGGAGGCUGAGGUGGGAGAACUGGUUGAGCCUAGGCGUUUGAGACCAGCCUGGGCAACAAAGGGAGACCCCAUACAUAAAAAAAAAUUACCAUUAGCCAGGCACUUUAGUGCAUGCCUGUAGUUCCAAUUACUCAGGAGGCUGACGUGGGAGGAUCUGCUUGAGCCCAGGAGGUCGAGGCUGCAGUGAACUGUGAUUACAUUAUUGUACUCCAGCUUGGGCAACAGCAUGAGACCUUGUCUCAAACAAAACAAAACAAAAAAUAAAACCCAAAUUCUUUCCAACUAUGUGGCCAUUUCCUCAGUGGAAUGAUUUCGGUGUGUUUAAGUACAGGUGAAGUAAAUUUGUUGUACUGGUUCUACAGUUAUCUGUUGCAUUCCUGUUAUUCACAUAGACUGCCCUCCAGAUUGUUUAUGACAAAUCUUCUGUUGCCUAAAACUAAGCUGGGACAAAGCUUCAAGUUCUGACUGGUCCUGAUUGUGCUACUAUCCAAAAGGAUGUUCUUGAAUAGGUCACUUAAUAACUUUGGGUGUCUUAAUUUCCUGAUCUAUAAAAUACGGUAAUUGGAGUAGUCCAUCUAACUUCCUGAUCUCUUUAACUUAAAAUUCUAGGAUUCCAUCCUACCUUUUAUGCAUGUUGUAUUAAUGUCUACCAAAUGAUUUUUUUUUUUGAGACAAGAGUCUUGCUCUGUCACCCAGGCUGGAAUGAAGUGAUGCAAUCUUGGCUCACUGCAACCCCACCUCCUGGAUGCAAGUGGUUCUUGUGCCUCAGCUUCCCAAGUGGCUGGGACUACAGGCGUGUGCCAUCACACUCAGCUAAUUUCUGUAUUUUUAGUAGAGAUGGGGUUUCAUCAUGUUGGCCAGGCUGGUCACGAACUCCUGACCUUAAGUGAUCAGCCUGCCCAGGUCUCCCAAAGUGCUGGGAUUACAGACGUAAGCCACCACGCCCAACCCCAAGUGAAUUAUUUUUCCAUCUUUCUAUUCUUUUUAAAUCAUUACCUCUACAAUAAAAAUAUCACCUUUUCCUAAAAGAUCACGUGAAUAAGGCAUGAUUGACUGAAAUGUCCACAUACACCAAAUGAGAUCAUGAAACAUUUGGCCAAUAAAAAUGGAACUGAGAAAAUCAAGUAAAUAUGGGCUGAAAGACUAUGCUGAAUUUCACUUUUAUAUUUCACAAUUAAAAAUAUUAGCGUUAAAAAAUAUCAGUGUCAAAAGUAAAAACCACUAAACUAUAACCAUGUGGCAAAUAAGAAUUAAAAAGCUACUGAUUUUUAAAAUUUCUGUUUAUUAGAAUAGAUUCUAAGACACAUG
rnacentral:lncRNA from 1 species